rnacentral:rRNA from 1 species
CUCCUACGGGAGGCAGCAGUAGGGAAUCUUGGUCAAUGGGCGGGAGCCUGAACCAGCCAAGUCGCGUGAGGGAAGACGGUCCUAUGGAUUGUAAACCUCUUUUGUCGGGGAGCAAAGAGAUCACGUGUGGUCAAAAGCGAGAGUACCCGAAGAAAAAGCAUCGGCUAACUCCGUGCCAGCAGCCGCGGUAAUACGGAGGAUGCGAGCGUUAUCCGGAUUUAUUGGGUUUAAAGGGUGCGUAGGCGGGACGGUAAGUCAGCGGUAAAAAUGCGGAGCUCAACUCCGUCUAGCCGUUGAAACUGCCG